rnacentral:rRNA from 1 species
GUGCUUAAAGCAGGCUCUUAAAUCAGCCUGAAUAGUGGUGCAUGGAAUAAUGGAACAGGACCUUGGUUCUAUUUUGUUGGUUUUCGGAAUCCAAGGUAAUGAUCAAUAAGGACAGGCGGGGGCAUUCGUAUUGCGGCGUUAGAGGUGAAAUUCUUGGAUCGUCGCAAGACGCACUAGAGCGAAAGCAUUUGCCAAGUAUGUCUUAAUUGAUCAAGAACGAAAGUUAGAGGUUCGAAGGCGAUCAGAUACCGCCCUAGUUCUAACCAUAAACGAUGCCAGCCAGCGAUCCGCCGAUGUUCCUCCGAUGACUCGGCGGGGAGCUUUCCCCGGGAAACCAAAGCUUUUGGGUUCCGGGGGAAGUAUGGUUGCAAAGCUGAAACUUAAAGGAAUUGACGGAAGGGCACCACCAGGAGUGGAGCCUGCGGCUUAAUUUGACUCAACACGGGAAACCUCACCAGGCCCGGACAUUGGAAGGAUUGACAGAUCGAUAGCUCUUUCUCGAUUCAGUGGGUAGUGGUGCAUGGCCGUUCUUAGUUGGUGGACUGAUUUGUCUGGUUAAUUCCGAUAACGAACGAGACUCUAACCUAUUAACUAGGCGUUUCC